rnacentral:lncRNA from 1 species
GCGAGGCGCAUCUCAGAUGCACUAUCUCCUCGGGCUCUUUUCCUGCUCUGUCUGGAUUGGGCUCAUUUACUAAAAAUUAGUUGGGAAUGAAAAAAGCCCCUAGUUUAUUAGCGUGCUAUUAUUCCCUCCCGCCAUCCUCCUGCAGCAUGAUGGAUUGCCUGAAUCUCGCUGGUCCGGGGGAAGAUGCAAUCUCGUUCGUUCCCAGUGUGUGUCUGCGUGGGCCACCACAGUGCCUCGCCUAGUCCGGCCUGUUUGGCCUCUUCACAGUGACCUUCGCAUGCUGGGCAGCAGAAGGGACCCCGGUGGCUUCCCAAGAACAAGUUAGAGAGAACUAAU